GACGAACGCUGGCGGCGUGCUUAACACAUGCAAGUCGAACGGAAAGGCCCUGCUUUUGUGGGGUGCUCGAGUGGCGAACGGGUGAGUAACACGUGAGUAACCUGCCCUUGACUUUGGGAUAACUUCAGGAAACUGGGGCUAAUACCGGAUAGGAGCUCCUGCUGCAUGGUGGGGGUUGGAAAGUUUCGGCGGUUGGGGAUGGACUCGCGGCUUAUCAGCUUGUUGGUGGGGUAGUGGCUUACCAAGGCUUUGACGGGUAGCCGGCCUGAGAGGGUGACCGGCCACAUUGGGACUGAGAUACGGCGCAGACUCCUACGGGAGGCAGCAGGGGGGAAUAUUGCACAAUGGGCGGAAGCCUGAUGCAGCAACGCCGCGUGCGGGAUGACGGCCUUCGGGGUGUAAACCGCUGUCGCCUGUGACGAAGCGUGAGUGACGGUAAUGGGUAAAGAAGCACCGGCUAACUACGUG
rnacentral:rRNA from 1 species